GGGUAGCUUGCUACCUGACCUAGCGGCGGACGGGUGAGUAAUGCUUAGGAAUCUGCCUAUUAGUGGGGGACAACAUUCCGAAAGGAAUGCUAAUACCGCAUACGCCCUACGGGGGAAAGCAGGGGAUCUUCGGACCUUGCGCUAAUAGAUGAGCCUAAGUCAGAUUAGCUAGUUGGUGGGGUAAAGGCCUACCAAGGCGACGAUCUGUAGCGGGUCUGAGAGGAUGAUCCGCCACACUGGGACUGAGACACGGCCCAGACUCCUACGGGAGGCAGCAGUGGGGAAUAUUGGACAAUGGGCGAAAGCCUGAUCCAGCCAUGCCGCGUGUGUGAAGAAGGCCUUUUGGUUGUAAAGCACUUUAAGCGAGGAGGAGGCUACUUGGAUUAAUACUCUAGGAUAGUGGACGUUACUCGCAGAAUAAGCACCGGCUAACUCUGUGCCAGCAGCCGCGGUAAUACAGAGGGUGCGAGCGUUAAUCGGAUUUACUGGGCGUAAAGCGUGCGUAGGCGGCUUUUUAAGUCGGAUGUGAAAUCCCUGAGCUUAACUUAGGAAUUGCAUUCGAUACUGGGAAGCUAGAGUAUGGGAGAGGAUGGUAGAAUUCCAGGUGUAGCGGUGAAAUGCGUAGAGAUCUGGAGGAAUACCGAUGGCGAAGGCAGCCAUCUGGCCUAAUACUGACGCUGAGGUACGAAAGCAUGGGGAGCAAACAGGAUUAGAUACCCUGGUAGUCCAUGCCGUAAACGAUGUCUACUAGCCGUUGGGGCCUUUGAGGCUUUAGUGGCGCAGCUAACGCGAUAAGUAGACCGCCUGGGGAGUACGGUCGCAAGACUAAAACUCAAAUGAAUUGACGGGGGCCCGCACAAGCGGUGGAGCAUGUGGUUUAAUUCGAUGCAACGCGAAGAACCUUACCUGGUCUUGACAUAGUAAGAACUUUCCAGAGAUGGAUUGGUGCCUUCGGGAACUUACAUACAGGUGCUGCAUGGCUGUCGUCAGCUCGUGUCGUGAGAUGUUGGGUUAAGUCCCGCAACGAGCGCAACCCUUUUCCUUAUUUGCCAGCGGGUUAAGCCGGGAACUUUAAGGAUACUGCCAGUGACAAACUGGAGGAAGGCGGGGACGACGUCAAGUCAUCAUGGCCCUUACGACCAGGGCUACACACGUGCUACAAUGGUCGGUACAAAGGGUUGCUACCUAGCGAUAGGAUGCUAAUCUCAAAAAGCCGAUCGUAGUCCGGAUUGGAGUCUGCAACUCGACUCCAUGAAGUCG
rnacentral:rRNA from 1 species